GGUGUAGGCGGCCUGUCAAGUCAGAUGUGAAAUCUCCCGGCUCAACUGGGAGGAUGCAUUUGAUACUGAUGGGCUAGAGUGCAGCAGAAGAAGAUGGAAUUCCCGGUGUAGUGGUGAAAUGCGUAGAUAUCGGGAAGAACACUAGUGGCGAAGGCGGUCUUCCGGGCUGUAACUGACGCUGAGACCCGAAGGCGUGGGGAGCAAACAGGAUUAGAUACCCUGGUAGUCCACGCAGUAAACGAUGGAUACUAGGUAUGGGGAGUAUCGACCCUCUCCGUGCCGAAGCUAACGCUUUAAGUAUCCCGCCUGGGGACUACGGUCGCAAGACUAAA
rnacentral:rRNA from 1 species